rnacentral:rRNA from 1 species
CCUACGGGUGGCAGCAGUGGGGAAUAUUGCGCAAUGGGCGAAAGCCUGACGCAGCGACGCCGCGUGAGGGAUGAAGGUCUUCGGAUCGUAAACCUCUGUCAGCAGGGAAGAACGGUCACUGUGCUAAUCAGCAGUGAAUUGACGGUACCUGCAAAGGAAGCACCGGCUAACUCCGUGCCAGCAGCCGCGGUAAUACGGAGGGUGCGGGCGUUAAUCGGAAUUACUGGGCGUAAAGCGCUCGUAGGCGGUAUGUCAAGUCAAGGGUGAAAUCCCCGCGCUCAACGUGGGAACUGCCUUUGAAACUGGCAGACUGGAGUGCGUGAGAGGAUAGUGGAAUUCCAGGUGUAGGAGUGAAAUCCGUAGAUAUCUGGAGGAACAUCAGUGGCGAAGGCGACUAUCUGUCACAUAACUGACGCUGAGGAGCGAAGGCGUGGGUAGCAAACAGGAUUAGAUACCCCAGUAGUC